rnacentral:ncRNA from 1 species
GUCCAGAGAACCAGCGAAGAGCCCCGGCUAGCUGGUCGACAACCCCUCACGUGCGAGGGGUGCCCCGGGUGACGACCAGGCCUCAAUUGGCAAGCGAAG